rnacentral:lncRNA from 1 species
UAAGACUUUGAAGCUACAUUCUUUUUUUUAUUAUUAGUUGUUCAAAACAUUACAAAGCUCUUGAUAUAUCAUAUUUCAUACAUUUGAUUCAAGUGGGUUAUGAACUCCCAUUUUUCCCCCAUAUAUAUAGAUUGCAGAAUCACAUCGGUUACACAUCCACGUUUAUACAUACUAGUGUCUGUUGUAUUCUGCUGUGUCUUUCCUAUCCUCUUCUAUCACCCCUCCCCUCCCCUCCCCUCCCAUCUUCUCUCUAUCCCAUCUACUGUACUUCAUUUCUCUCCCUUGUUUUUUUUCCCCCUUUCCCUUCAGCUCCUCUUAUAUGUAAUUUUGUAUAACGAUGAGGGUCUCCUUCCAUUUCCAUGUAAUUUCCCUUCUCUCUCCCUUUCCUUCCCACCUCUCGUCCCUGUUUAAUGAUAAUCUUCUUCUCAUGCUCUUCCUCCCUGCUCUGUUCUUAGAUGCUCUCCUUAUAUCAAAGAAGACAUUUGGCAUUUGUUUUUUAGGGAUUGGCUAGCUUCACUUAGCAUAAUCUGCUCUAGUGCCAUCCAUUUCCCUGCAAAUGCCAUGAUUUUGUCAUUUUUUAGUGCUGAGUAGUACUCCAUUGUGUAUAAAUGCCACAUUUUUUAAUCCAUUCAUCUAUUGAAGGGCAUCUAGGUUGGUUCCACAGUCUAGCUAUUGUGAAUUGUGCUGCUAUGAACAUCGAUGUAGCAGUGUCCCUGUAGUAUGCUCUUUUAAGGUCUUUAGGGAAUAGUCCAAGAAGGGGAAUAGCUGGGUCAAAUGGUGGUUCCAUUCCCAGCUUUCCCAGGAAUCUCCAUACUGCUUUCCAAAUUGGCCGCACCAAUUUGCAGUCCCACCAGCAAUGUACAAGUGUACACUUUUCCCCACUGAAGUUACAUUCUUAUAAGCUAUUUUUACCUGUGGCAAGCAUGUAUGUAACAUUAUUCAGGUAUGAAAAACCAUGAAAUAAAAGACGAUUCAGAAAACAUUGUGAUCAGUUCAUACUAUAAAUGCCUCACUUUACAUGUAGAAAAAGAGGUGUAGUCUUAGAAAAUUUUUUUCUUCUAUAUUAAAUAAAUGCUGAAUGGGCUGGGGCUGUAGCUCAGUGGUAGAGCCCUUGCCUUGCUUGUGG